UACGGAGGGGGCUAGCGUUGUUCGGAAUUACUGGGCGUAAAGCGCACGUAGGCGGCUUUGUAAGUUUGAUGUGAAAGCUCAGGGCUUAACCCUGAAAUGGCAUUGAAUACUGUUGGGCUGGAGGUUUGGAGGGGGGACUGGAAUUCUUGGUGUAGCAGUGAAAUGCGUAGAUAUCAAGAGGAACACCAGUGGCGAAGGCGAGUCCCUGGACAACACCUGACACUGAGGCACGAAAGCUAGGGGAGCAAACAGG
rnacentral:rRNA from 1 species